rnacentral:rRNA from 1 species
UGUUUAUGGAGGUCGACACGGGAGAACCAUAUAGAAUACUCAAGCUAAGCCUCCAACGCGAGGGUUCUUUUUAUUUAUAUGCUAGUGAUUUUGAAAGGGAAACGAUUGAAGUCAGUCAUGCCGGUGAGAAAUCAGCUUACAGGUUACUGUGAGUGCACUUUUUCGCAAGGCAGGUUAACAUCGGUUUUUGUUGCGUUAUAAUGAUUGUAGGAAGGUGGCUCCUUCGGGAGUGUUAUAGCCUACUUUAGAUGGCGCGACGAGGACUGAGGAUUGCAGCGAAUGCCUUUGGCUACGGAUCUGUUCUCUGUCGAUCUUCAAUUGAUCUUCAGCUUGCUGAUGAGCGGUUGAUGGGUUUGCAAUAGGAUGGAAUCCGAUAAAUUCGUUAAGGAUGUUGACGUA